AGAGAGAGAGAGGGGGAGAGAGAGAGAGAGAGAGAGAGAGAGAGAGAGAGAGAGAGCUGCUUCAGUAUGAUCCAGAGAGCAGGAAGAGAUAGGCGUAACUUACCACUGCAAGUUCAAAGUCUCACUUCAGCACAGGAGUACUUGGAAAGCAGGGAAGGAUCUCCUAAUCACCUCGAUCACCUUGGGGAAUGACUCUCCAUUCAAGCAUCCAGUGGGCUGGUAUGUGCUCAUUUCACCUUCUGAAGGGGAGAAGAAGGACACACUCCAAAAUGCCUCAAGAAGACACUGGGAGGAAUUCAAAAUUCUCCACUCUUAUCACUCCAGAGUCGGUGGCAAGAGAAAUUGCAGGCAAAAACCUGGCAGUUAAGAAGUUGGAAACUGCUUCAGAAAAGAGACAAGGAUUUCUAUCCAGUGGCCAAUCAGUGAGCAGCACCUCUUGCAGCAAUGGUAGGUCUGUUGAAGCGAACAGCCUGCAUUUUGGGUGAGCUUUUAGCCAAAUAAACGAAUACAUGUGUUUGGAAGUCUUUUUUUU
rnacentral:lncRNA from 1 species